ACGGAGGAUCCAAGCGUUAUCCGGAUUUAUUGGGUUUAAAGGGUGCGCAGGCGGAUCAAUAAGUCAGGGGUGAAAAAUUUCAGCUUAACUGGAAUCGUGCCUUUGAUACUGUUGGACUAGAGUAUAAUUGACGUGACUGGAAUGUGAUGUGUAGCGGGGAAAUGAUUAGAUAUGUCACAGAACGCAAAUCGUGAAGAAAGAUAAAGAAAUUAUAAAUGAAGCUCAUUCAAGAAAGACUGGUGAUCAAAAAG
rnacentral:rRNA from 1 species